rnacentral:rRNA from 1 species
GUGGGGAAUAUUGGACAAUGGGGGGAACCCUGAUCCAGCCAUGCCGCGUGUGUGAAGAAGGCCUUUUGGUUGUAAAGCACUUUAAGCGAGGAGGAGGCUACCGAGAUUAAUACUCUUGGAUAGUGGACGUUACUCGCAGAAUAAGCACCGGCUAACUCUGUGCCAGCAGCCGCGGUAAUACAGAGGGUGCAAGCGUUAAUCGGAUUUACUGGGCGUAAAGCGCGCGUAGGUGGCCAAUUGAGUCAAAUGUGAAAUCCCCGAGCUUAACUUGGGAAUUGCCUUCGAUACUGGUUGGCUAGAGGAUGGGAGAGGAUGGUAGAAUUCCAGGUGUAGCGGUGAAAUGCGUAGAGAUCUGGAGGAAUACCGAUGGCGAAGGCAGCCAUCUGGCCUAAUACUGACACUGAGGUGCGAAAGCAUGGGGAGCAAACAGGAUUAGAAACCCCUGUAGUCC